UGCAGUCGAGCGAANGGAUUAAGAGCUUGCUCUUAUGAAGUUAGCGGCGGACGGGUGAGUAACACGUGGGUAACCUGCCCAUAAGACUGGGAUAACUCCGGGAAACCGGGGCUAAUACCGGAUAANAUUUUGAACCGCAUGGUUCGAAAUUGAAAGGCGGCUUCGGCUGUCACUUAUGGAUGGACCCGCGUCGCAUUAGCUAGUUGGUGAGGUAACGGCUCACCAAGGCAACGAUGCGUAGCCNACCUGAGAGGGUGAUCGGCCACACUGGGACUGAGACACGGCCCAGACUCCUACGGGAGGCAGCAGUAGGGAAUCUUCCGCAAUGGACGAAAGUCUGACGGAGCAACGCCGCGUGAGUGAUGAAGGCUUUCGGGUCGUAAAACUCUGUUGUUAGGGAAGAACAAGUGCUAGUUGAAUAAGCUGGCACCUUGACGGUACCUAACCAGAAAGCCAC
rnacentral:rRNA from 1 species